rnacentral:rRNA from 1 species
GGGUAACCGGAAGGCAUAUUUAGUGGCGAACGGGUGAGUAAUGCAUGAGAACGUAUCCUCAAGAGGGGGACAACAUUGGGAAACCGAUGCUAAUACCCCAUAAGCCGGGAGGUAAAAGGAGCAAUCCGCUUGAGGAGCGGUUCAUGUCCUAUCAGCUAGUUGGUGAGGUAACGGCUCACCAAGGCGAAGACGGGUAGCCGGCCUGAGAGGGUGAACGGCCACACUGGAACUGAGAGACGGUCCAGACUCCUACGGGAGGCAGCAGUGGGGAAUAUUGGGCAAUGGGGGAAACCCUGACCCAGCGACGCCGCGUGAGGGAAGAAGGCCUUAGGGUCGUAAACCUCUGUUGUGUGGGAAGAAGAGCGUGACGGUACCACACGAGGAAGUCCCGGCUAACUACGUGCCAGCAGCCGCGGUAAUACGUAGGGGACGAGCGUUGUCCGGAUUUACUGGGCGUAAAGGGCGCGUA